AACGAACGCUGGCGGCAGGCCUAACACAUGCAAGUCGAACGAAGCCUUCGGGCUUAGUGGCGGACGGGUUAGUAACGCGUGGGAACGUGCCCUUCUCUACGGAACAGUCCCGGGAAACUGGGUUUAAUACCGUAUACGCCCUUCGGGGGAAAGAUUUAUCGGAGAAGGAUCGGCCCGCGUCUGAUUAGAUAGUUGGUGGGGUAACGGCCUACCAAGUCGACGAUCAGUAGCUGGUUUGAGAGGAUGAUCAGCAACACUGGGACUGAGACACGGACCAGACUCCUACGGGAGGCAGCAGUGGAGAAUCUUAGACAAUGGGCGCAAGCCUGAUCUAGCCAUGCCGCGUGAGUGAUGAAGGCCUUAGGGUCGUAAAGCUCUUUCGCUGGGGAAGAUAAUGACGGUACCCAGUAAAGAAACCCCGGCUAACUCCGUGCCAGCCGCCGCGGUAAUAC
rnacentral:rRNA from 1 species